GGGACACGUGGUAUCCUGUCUGAAUAUGGGGGGACCAUCCUCCAAGGCUAAAUACUCCUGACUGACCGAUAGUGAACCAGUACCGUGAGGGAAAGGCGAAAAGAACCCCGGCGAGGGGAGUGAAAAAGAACCUGAAACCGUGUACGUACAAGCAGUGGGAGCACGCUUAGGCGUGUGACUGCGUACCUUUUGUAUAAUGGGUCAGCGACUUAUAUUCUGUAGCAAGGUUAACCGAAUAGGGGAGCCGAAGGGAAACCGAGUCUUAACUGGGCGUUAAGUUGCAGGGUAUAGACCCGAAACCCGGUGAUCUAGCCAUGGGCAGGUUGAAGGUUGGGUAACACUAACUGGAGGACCGAACCGACUAAUGUUGAAAAAUUAGCGGAUGACUUGUGGCUGGGGGUGAAAGGCCAAUCAAACCGGGAGAUAGCUGGUUCUCCCCGAAAGCUAUUUAGGUAGCGCCUCGUGAAUUCAUCUCCGGGGGUAGAGCACUGUUUCGGCAAGGGGGUCAUCCCGACUUACCAACCCGAUGCAAACUGCGAAUACCGGAGAAUGUUAUCACGGGAGACACACGGCGGGUGCUAACGUCCGUCGUGAAGAGGGAAACAACCCAGACCGCCAGCUAAGGUCCCAAAGUCAUGGUUAAGUGGGAAACGAUGUGGGAAGGCCCAGACAGCCAGGAUGUUGGCUUAGAAGCAGCCAUCAUUUAAAGAAAGCGUAAUAGCUCACUGGUCGAGUCGGCCUGCGCGGAAGAUGUAACGGGGCUAAACCAUGCACCGAAGCUGCGGCAGCGACGCUUAUGCGUUGUUGGGUAGGGGAGCGUUCUGU
rnacentral:rRNA from 1 species